ensembl:lncRNA
GCAGGGAGAGGCAAGAUGGCUGACGCCGGGGAGCGCUUGAGCAAUGCAGGCAGUGUGGUGGUUCACAGUGGCCCCUGUGUUCGAAGGCUCAUGUUUGCAGACUUCCUGAUUAACCUGAUCCUGUGGGUGGAGGGCUUCUUGGCAGCCAUCCCCUUCAGCACGCUUGUGGCCAUCUUGGCUUUGUGGUUUGGCAUGUCUGGGCCCUUCACCUUUGUGGGCGCCUAGCCUACUUCGGCUUCAAAAUGCCUGUGAGUUUAACCUAUCAAUCACGCUGUCUGUAUGGAUAACUGUUUCAGGUCAUCUUACAUCAUGUGCAUUUCCCCCCUAAGGUUGCAAUCUCUUUCAAACUGGCAUAAAUCAGAAAACAUAGCAUACUAAGAAGGGUUUGUCUUGAUGUGUUUCUAUGCUACUCUCUGUGCUCCAGGCACACAACAAAAAAUAAUAAUAUUUUUUUACAUACAGUACCAGUCAAAAGUUUGGACACCUACUAAUUCAAAGGUUUUUCUUCAGUAAAAAUAAACUCAGGAAAAAAAGAAACGUCCUCUCACUGUCAACUGUGUUUAUUUUCAGCAAACUGAAAAAACUGAAAUGUGUACAUAUUUGUAGGAGCAUAACAAGAUUCAAUAACUGAGACAAACUGAACAAGUUCCACAGACAAGUGACUAACAUAAAUGGAAUAUUGUGUCCCUGAACAAAGGGGGGGUAAAAAUCAAAAGUAACAGUCAGUAUCUGGUGUGGCCACCAGCUGCAUUAAAUACUGCAGUGCAUCUCAUCCUCAUGGACUGCACCAGAUUUGCCAGUUCUUGCUGUGAGAUGUUACCCCACUCUUCCACAAAAGGCACCUGCAAGUUCCCGGACAUUUCUGGGGGGAAUGGCCCUAAGCCCUCACCCUCUCAUCCAACAGGUCCCAGACGUGCUCAAUGGGAUUGAGGUCGAAAGCUCUUCGCUGGCCAUGGCAGAACACUGACAUUCAUGUCUUACAGGAAAUCACGCACAGAACGAGCAGUAUGGCUGGUGACAAUGUCAUGCUGGAGGGUCAUGUCAGGAUGGGCCUGCAGGAAGGGUACCACAUGAGGGAGGAGGAUAUAUUCCCAAUGAAGCACAGCAUUGAGAUUGCCUGCAAUGACAAGCUCAGUUCGAUGAUGCUGUGACACACCGCCCCAGACCAUGACGGACCCUCCACCUCCAAAUCGAUCCCACUCCAGAGUACAGGCCUCGGUGUAACGCUUAUUCCUUUGAUGAUAAACGCGAAUCCGACCAUCACCCCUGGUGAGACAAAACCACGACUCGUCAGUGAAAAGCACUUCUUGCCAGUCCUGUCUGGUCCAACGACGGUGGGUUUGUGCCCAUAGGCAACGUUGUUUCCGGUGAUGUCUGGUGAGGACCUGCCUUAUAACAGGCCUACAAGCCCUCAGUCCAGCCUUUCUCAGCCUAUUGCGGACCGUUUGUGCACUGAUGACGGAUUGUGCAUUCCUGGUGUAACUCGGGCAGUUGUUGUUGCCAUCCUGUACCUGUCCCGCAGGUGUGAUGUUCGGAUGUACCGAUCCUGUGCAGAUGUUGUUACACUUGGUCUGCCACUGCAACACAGUACGGACAUUGCAAUUUAUUGCCCUGGCCACAUCUGCGGUCCUUAAGCCUCCUUGCAGCAUGCCUAAGGCACAUUCACGAAGAUGAGCAGGGACCCUGGGUAUCUUUCAUUUGGUAUUUUUCAGAGUCAGUAGAAAGGCCUCCUUACUGUCCUAAGUUUUCAUAACUGUGACCUUAAUUGCCUACUGUCUGUAAGCUGUUAGUGUCUUAACGACCAUUCCAGAGGUGCAUGUUAAUUAAUUGUUCAUGGUUCAUUGAACAAGCAUGGGAAACUGUGUUUAAACCCUUUACAAUGAAGAUCUGUGAAGCUAUUGUGAUUUUUACAAAUUAUCUUUGAAAGACAGGGUCAUGAAAAAGGGAUGUUUCUUUUUUUUGCUGAGUUUAUUUUCUAUAUUGGCUAUUGGUUGAGAUGCAUGCCCUGUUCUAGCUUGGUAUGUCAGGAAAUUGGAAAUGUGAAUUGGGCCAAGUCGGAGGUAAUAAAACAUUUAGUUUAAUAUCUCUUAUGUUUAAUAUAUUCAAAUGAAUUACACUACCGUUCAAAAGUUUGGGGUCACAUAGAAAUGUCCUAGUUUUUGAAAGAAAGGCACAUUUGUUUUGUCCGUUAAAAUAACAUCAAAUUGAUCAAAUGCAAUGUAGACAUUAUUCAUGGCCUUCUAGGCAGAGUUGCAAAGAAAAGGCCAUAUCUCAGACUGACCAAUAAAAAUAAAAUAUUAAGAUGGGCAAAAGAACACAGACACUGAACAGAGGACUCUGCCUAGAAAGCCAGCAUCCUGGAGUCAGUCGCCUCUUCACUGUUGAAGUUGAGACUGGUGUUUUGCAGGUACUAUUUAAUGAAGCUGCCAGUUGAGGACUCGUCAUUUUGUAUUAGGUUCCCCAUCAGCUAACACCAUAACGCUAGCUAAUCUUCCUGGGGUCCAACACCAAUUAACAAAACAUUACAAACAACCACAAUCAAGACAUCAAACAUUCAACAAGUAUAAAAUACAGAUAAUUAAAAUACCUGACAGGAAACACAUUUAACAUUCUUGUGAGGCGUCUGUUUCUCAAACUAGACACUAAUGUACUUGUCCUUUUGCUCAGUUGUGCACCGGGGCCUCCCACUCCUCGUUCUAUUCUGGUUAGUGCCAGUUUGCGCAGUUCAGUGAAGGGAGUAGUACACAGCGUUGUACGAGAUCUUCAGUUUCUUGGCAAUUUCUCGCAUGGAAUAGCCUUCCUUUCUCAGAACAAGAAUAGACUGACGUGUUUCAGAAGAAAGUGUUUGUUUCUGGCACUCCUUGCAAACAGUGCAAUAAUAUUAAGCUAUAUCUAUUUACAUUAGGCUAUAGCCUACAAAUAGCUAUACCACGUAGUCGUAGGCCUAUUAGGCUAUAAGCCUACUGCAAAUUGUUGUUUGUUCCUGAACUGGCCGAAUGUCAGAGCUAUCCUUCAGCACCAGAAGUUGGUUCAACUUUAAUAUCAAUGCGUGAUCCUGGCAGUCCAUUCAGCACCACAGAGGGUGUUCCAACUCAUUAAAAUAACACUCAUCAAGAUCUGUUGCUUAUGCCUAAUAGGUCUGUGUGCUUAUGGAUAAUUCCUAUUUAAUUUCAUCUCAGCAAGGCCAAACGAGGAAAUGUAUAAUUUUAUAAUUUUUCAAGUUCAAAACGAAAAUUGGAUAUCAACUUGUUUUCUCGUUUGUGGUCUCCAAAAUUGUGCAUCGAAUAACAAAAGACAAAUGAUGACUAAAUGUAUCCUAUUUUAUUUUUGUACCUUGAAGUACACACCCCCUAAUAUAACAUUCAAGCACAGAUAGGACAAUGAGAGAUGGAGUGCCAUGCCUGUGGGAGAGGGCGUGCACAGAACUUAUCACAGUGCCUAAAGUGUCGGGCAGAGGGUCCACGAGAAACCCAGCACCUGGCGGUGAUGAAAGAUCUACCAUGACAAUUUUUUCCAGUGUUAAUGUUUCUGAAAGUUAAGCACACAAUAGCCUACAGUUACAGUAGAAGUCAAUGUGUUUGACAGUAAUCAAUAUGUUCCAUUAUAGGCCAUAGCAAGACGUGUUGUCACAGCUCAGGGAUAUCACUCGCAGAUGUGUUUAGAUCGACCAGUGGCCUGUUUGUUUGUCUUCAUUGAGUUUAGAACAAAAUUAAAAGCGUCGUUCAGUUGUGGCUUGUUAGCUCCAACAAAGACUUACUCAUGUACGUGUUCAUGUAUGUGUCUAAUAAACCCAUAUUCCAUAU